rnacentral:rRNA from 1 species
GAUGAACGCUGGCGGCGUGCCUAAUACAUGCAAGUCGAGCGAACAGAUGAGGAGCUUGCUCCUCUGACGUUAGCGGCGGACGGGUGAGUAACACGUGUAUAACCUACCUAUAAGACUGGGAUAACUUCGGGAAACCGGAGCUAAUACCGGAUAAUAUAUUGAACCGCAUGGUUCAAUAGUGAAAUACGGUUUUGCUGUCACUUAUAGAUGGAUCCGCGCCGCAUUAGCUAGUUGGUAAGGUAACGGCUUACCAAGGCAACGAUGCGUAGCCGACCUGAGAGGGUGAUAGGCCACACUGGAACUGAGACACGGACCAGACUCCUACGGGAGGCAGCAGUAGGGAAUCUUCCGCAAUGGGCGAAAGCCUGACGGAGCAACGCCGCGUGAGUGAUGAAGGUCUUCGGAUCGUAAAACUCUGUUAUUAGGGAAGAACAAAUGUGUAAGUAAAUAUGCACGUAUUGACGGUACCUAAUAAGAAAGCCACGGCUAACUACGUG